GUUGUUUCAAAACUGAAACCCAUGAUGAAUGUUAAGCCUACAGUGACCUACUACAGGAUGUGGAACUGAGCAGCAGAAGCAGUUUCCUGUCAACAAAGAGAGAAGCGCUGAGAAACUUGGCACUCUUGCCACUCAUCUGCUUGAAACAACGCAAAGAAAGGAAUGUGUGAAAAGGAGCGAGUAAAGAAGGAAAACAAGAAUGGAUCAAAAGAGUGAAAAGAGAAUUUCAAAAUGGCCCACUUGCAUCAAAUGUUGUGUUUGGCUUUAUUUUGACGGUCCUGGAAAGUUGGCUGGACUUUGCUUGGUCUUGGUCUUGGCCUCAGUCCUGAUCAUAAAAUGGAUCAUGGAUCAACAAAGUCCUUCUACAGGGCCCCAGUUUCCAUGUGUAUCAUCCUUCAUUCAGUGGCCAAGAGAAUAUUGCAGGCCGAGAGAUAAAAGUCCACGUUUUGAGAUGUGGAGGUGGAAAUGGUCAGACAUAUAUCAGCUAGGAAAUUAUAAUUUUCAUCUGCUAGGAGGGUUGUGUUUGGGACUCUGAUGAACUUUUACUUACUUUUUCUGCAGGAUUUUGCAUUGGCACCGCCUUGCUUCUCUCUUUUCUCAUUUUUUCCAGUUUGAUUAAAAACAUGCAAAGUCUG
ensembl:lncRNA